UACAGAGGGCGCGAGCGUUGUCCGGAAUUACUGGGCGUAAAGCGCACGUAGGCGGCUUUGUAAGUUAGAGGUGAAAGCCCGGGGCUCAACUCCGGAAUUGCCUUUAAGACUGCAUCGCUAGAAUUGUGGAGAGGUAAGUGGAAUUCCGAGUGUAGAGGUGAAAUUCGUAGAUAUUCGGAAGAACACCAGUGGCGAAGGCGACUUACUGGACACAUAUUGACGCUGAGGUGCGAAAGCGUGGGGAGCAAACAGG
rnacentral:rRNA from 1 species